rnacentral:rRNA from 1 species
UACGGAGGAUCCAAGCGUUGUCCGGAUUUAUUGGGUUUAAAGGGUGCGUAGGCGGAUAAUUAAGUCAGUGGUGAAAUCUUGCGGCUCAACCGGUAAAAUUGCCAUUGAAACUGAUUAUCUUGAGUACAGUUGAGGUGGGCGGAAUGUAUCAUGUAGCGGUGAAAUGCGUAGAUAUCAGGAGGGAACACCUGCGGUGUAGACGGCUUUCUGGACCAUUGCUGACGCUGAGACACGAAAGCGUGGGUAGCAAACAGG